rnacentral:rRNA from 1 species
CUAACACAUGCAAGUCGAGCGGUAACAGGUGUAGCAAUACAUGCUGACGAGCGGCGAACGGGUGAGUAAUGCUUUGGAAUCUUCCCAGUAGUGGGGAAUAACCAGUCGAAAGAUUGGCUAAUACCGCAUACGUCUGUAAAGGGAAAGCGGGGGCUCGUAAGACCUCGCGCUAUUGGAUGAGCCAAAGUCGGAUUAGCUAGUUGGUGGGGUAAUGGCCUACCAAGGCGACAAUCCGUAGCUGGUCUGAGAGGACGACCAGCCACACCGGAACUGAGACACGGUCCGGACUCCUACGGGAGGCAGCAGUGGGGAAUAUUGGACAAUGGGGGAAACCCUGAUCCAGCGACGCCGCGUGUGUGAAGAAGGCCUGCGGGUUGUAAAGCACUUUUAGUGGGGACAAAAAGCUACGGAUUAAUACUCUGUGGUCUUGAUUUAACCCAAAGAAAAAGCACCGGCUAACUCUGUGCCAGCAGCCGCGGUAAU